ACCCGGCUGCGGCUCCCUCUGCGCGGGCACCCACCGCACGCUGCCCGUGCCCCGGCCUGCCCACGCCGGCCGGCUGCUCGCAGCGUGCAAAUGCACGACAGCGUUCACCUGCCUUUGGGCGGCACACGGGCUCCGGCUUGCCUUUCUGCGCAGAACUGCAGAUUAUUGAUUGCUGAUCUGUGAAGCCCCACGCGAUGUUUGCACAGCACCGUCGCCUUGGCAGUGACUAAGAUGCUGUGGAUAAGCUGACGGCAUCACUGAGGAAACUGAAAUGGCAAAUCUCCAGGCCACGGUUGUCAAAGAGCCCCCAGAGCCGUGUGCGUGCAGCAGCACCGCGGCGGGGCUAUCUCCGCGCCGGGGGAGUCGCUGGGAAGCGUGCGGCCAGUCGGGCAGUCAGGCACAGCGUGCCAGGAGCAGGAGCGAAAACACCUGCAGGACUCAGAAGGUGCCCGGCGAUGCUUCGGCACGUCCCAUCUCGCGGAGCCGCCGCUGAUGGGGAUGGGACAGGCACUGGGUGACACCUCGGGGUGUUUCUGUUCUGUUCCCGGGGGGCAGUGCUCUGCAGGCAGCGCUGCCGCAGCCCGAUCAUGCAGCGCCAGCUCCAGCACCAGCACCGGGGUCCGGGAGCCACAGCCGCACCGAGCCCGGCAGCUGAGCCCCGCUGGGGCAAGGGGCGAGGGUGGCUUCCACCGGUCAGCCGGCCAGCCGAGCUGCUGGGGGGUCCUGGCUGGGCCGCCUCUGUCAAGAAAUGCCAGCUGGUCAGAAGCAAGAUGUUUUGUAGGAAUGUCUUGGCUUUGACAAAAAUUUGUUGCGAAAGAAAAAUUGGGGAUGUGGGGGGAAGUUUUCCUGAUAAGGUCAAAACAUUCAGCCUCAACCUUUUCAGAGCAGAACAUUUCAAUUUUCCACUUCAGCCUGAUAUUUCAUUUCAAUUUUGUACUAAAAAUGUAAAUUAAAUAAAAAUUUGGAAUUAAA